GGGGAAGUGUCGGAAGGGCAGACGAGCGUGACUUAGGAUCACGUGGAGAAAUCCGUGAGAGUUCAAAUCUCUCCUUCCCCA
rnacentral:tRNA from 1 species